rnacentral:rRNA from 1 species
AUUGAACGCUGGCGGCAGGCCUAACACAUGCAAGUCGAGCGGAUGAGUGGAGCUUGCUCCAUGAUUCAGCGGCGGACGGGUGAGUAAUGCCUAGGAAUCUGCCUGGUAGUGGGGGACAACGUUUCGAAAGGAACGCUAAUACCGCAUACGUCCUACGGGAGAAAGCAGGGGACCUUCGGGCCUUGCGCUAUCAGAUGAGCCUAGGUCGGAUUAGCUAGUAGGUGAGGUAAUGGCUAACCUAGGCGACGAUCCGUAACUGGUCUGAUAGGAUGUUCAGUCACACUGAAACUGAGACACGGUCCAGACUCCUACGGGAGGGAGCAGUGGGGAAUAUUGGACAAUGGGCGAAAGCCUGAUCCAGCCAUGCCGCGUGUGUGAAGAAGGUCUUCGGAUUGUAAAGCACUUUAAGUUGGGAGGAAGGGCAGUAAGUUAUUACCUUGCUGUUUUGACGUUACCAACAGAAUAAGCACCGGCUAACUUCGUGCCAGCCGCCGCAGUAAAAC